UACAGUAUUCUUUUUGCCAGCGCUUAAUUGCGCGGCGAAAAAACCUUACACACAGUGUUUUUUGUUAUUACAAGAACUUUUGCUUUGGUCUGGACUAGAAAUAGUUUGGGCCAGAGGUUUACUGAACUAAACUUCAAUAUUUAUAUUGAAUUGUUAUUUAUUUUAAUUGUCAAUUUGUUGAUUAAAUUCAAAAAAUCUUCAAAACUUUCAACAACGGAUCUCUUGGUUCUCGCAUCGAUGAAGAACGCAGCGAAAUGCGAUAAGUAAUAUGAAUUGCAGAUUUUCGUGAAUCAUCGAAUCUUUGAACGCACAUUGCGCCCUCUGGUAUUCCAGAGGGCAUGCCUGUUUGAGCGUCAUUUCUCUCUCAAACCUUCGGGUUUGGUAUUGAGUGAUACUCUUAGUCGAACUAGGCGUUUGCUUGAAAUGUAUUGGCAUGAGUGGUACUGGAUAGUGCUAUAUGACUUUCAAUGUAUUAGGUUUAUCCAACUCGUUGAAUAGUUUAAUGGUAUAUUUCUCGGUAUUCUAGGCUCGGCCUUACAAUAUAACAAACAAGUUUGACCUCAAAUCAGGUAGGACUACCCGC
rnacentral:rRNA from 1 species